GGGUAGGUCUCGCUGAAUAUUAUUUAUUCUCAAGGCCACUCAUUUUCACCUGGACUUUUGGAGUUUGAGCCUUCUCGUCAGUACUGUGGAUUUUUUCUUGCACAAUCUAAGUAUGAAGAAACAUCUCUGAACCUUCUAUAUCUGCUCACUGACAGAAGGACGUAAUUUGAGCUGUGAGUGUAUUAUACUGUAGACUGGAAAGUGCUGAAUCCGGCAGAGCAAGGUGGAGUGACUGGCCAUACGUCGUACUCAUCCUGAUGUUGAGUAUAUGCAGCAUUCACAGAAGAACAUAUGGUGAACCAAGAGUUUUGGCCUCCACAGUCAUCAGACCUAAAAGUAUGACUUUUAUCUGUGGGAUUAAUUUAGGGAAAUGUUUAUAAUACGAAUCCCCAGACAGUCCCUGACUGAAACAGCAAAUUGAAAAUAAUGUCCAGAAUAACGAAUCUGUGAAGUUGCAGAAGGUAUUUCUGAACAAUACAUGACAAGAUGGACACAACUUUGCCAAGCCACUAGCAGACACCAUUUCUAGCAUGUCCUGCAACAGGCCUAUUGACCGGCCAGGACCCCACUAGUGCCGCAUACUAAUGUAUCCUUACUAGUAUCAGGGUAAUUUUCCACCUAUUUACCCUCACUAGCUGACUUUUCCUCCAUCUGUUCCAUCUCUGUUUCUUUUCAAUUUUCUUUUUUCAAUUUUCAUUUCCUCUUUAUAUCUUUCCUAUAUCCCCUUUUUAUUUUUUACACUUAUUAUUUUUUGCAUUUUUAUUUUAUUUAAUCUCCACCUUUAUCCUGAUUGUUCUUCUUAUUUGAGGUCCUCUACCUCUUCUUCCCCUACAUUAUUUUAAUUUUUAACUUUUUAGUUUUGCUACCUUUUCUAAUACCAUUCCAUUGACUUCUCUACUACCUAUCUGUAUCCAUUUAUACUUCCAUUCCCUCUGCGUUUUCUGUACUGAUUGACACACAAUAAACACAUACAUUGCAAGACAUCAUACAUUUAUUACACAUAUACUGCCUCUCAAAAAGUUCUCUGCAUCAUGAUAAGAUUAGAUUCUUCUCUCCUUUUCCCUUUUUUCUUUGCCCUUUUUUCUACCCACUAACAUCACUAACUCACUGACACAUCACAGGCCUUACUUCCGACCAGUGGAACCCGUCCACUGUAUUCCCGCCAUCAGCCAACACGCAGGAGAAGGUGGCACCUCAACCACACGCACACAGUGUAGGAGGGCGCACUUAUUUAAAGGGAAUCUGUCACCUAUUUUGACCAUAUAAAACCGUUAACAUAGCAAUGUGCA